UAUGGGAGCGCAGGAGCUCCUAUAUUUCCCCACUCCUGGAAGACUCUUGGUCUGGGAUUAUGCCAAGAAUCCAGAGGUGAAAGGGGUCAAAGUAGAAAAAGGUGGUGCUGCCAUCCAGGUCCUCAAGGAGCCUGAAGUGUGCACAGACCCUGUCUGGACAUGGGCAUCUGCAUCUACAAGGAGGGGCAGGUUGUGCCUCUGAAAUCGGAUGUUGAAUACCCCAAGAUGCUGGAGGAGCUGAACCCCAAGGGCCGGUAGUACUGGCAGCUGCUGCGGAAACAAAGCAUGGGGCACCACCAUUGGCUGAGCAAGAACAAGAAUUUCUAG
rnacentral:lncRNA from 10 species